UGGAAACAUCCGGGGUCCUUCGGGACUCCAGCACAGGUGCUGCAUGGCUGUCGUCAGCUCGUGUCGUGAGAUGUUGGGUUAAGUCCCGCAACGAGCGCAACCCUUACCCGUAGUUGCCAGCGGGUGAUGCCGGGGACUCUACGGGGACUGCCGGUGAUAAACCGGAGGAAGGUGAGGACGACGUCAAGUCAUCAUGGCCCUUACGCUCAGGGCGACACACGUGCUACAAUGGUCGGUACAAUGGGCUGCGAUCCCGCGAGGGUGAGCCAAUCCCAAAAAGCCGGCCUAAGUUCGGAUCGGAGUCUGCAACUCGACUCCGUGAAGCCGGAAUCGCUAGUAAUCGCGGAUCAGCCAUGCCGCGGUGAAUACGUUCCCGGGCUUUGUACACACCGCCCGUCACGCCAUGGAAGCCGGGGGGACCCGAAGUCAGUGGCCUAACCUUCGGGAGGGAGCUGCCUAAGGUCAAUCCGGUGACUGGGGCGAAGUCGUAACAAGGUAGCC
rnacentral:rRNA from 1 species